AUAAAAAAAAAAAGAAAGUCAUCAUUUAUACUUUAAGUGAGAAGAAAAGGUAUUGGUUUCUAUGUUGCUUAUCCAAACUCACUUUUGGGACUGAAUUGUGCCUUAUAGAGGUGUCUUGUUUCUUUCUGAAUUAACUACCCUCCGCUUGCCUUGAAACCGGAGCCAUUUUUUCUAACCCCUAUUCUAAUUUGUGAUUUUCACCUCCUACAUUUGUUUUUAUUGUCAAACAUUUUUUAUUCACUACUUCUAACAUUACUCUGCUAUCUUGUUCCUUCAUUGUGAGAAUAUCCCACAUGGAGAAUAUUGGAGACCCUGGAACCCCCAAAAUCUAGUGUAGAAAAAUUAAUCCACACUUAUGUGACUGUUUAUAACAGCAAAACUCUGUAUAUAAAUCUAAAUGUCCACCAUGUGUAGGUUAAAUGUUAUGAUAUACCAUAGCAUGGAUAUUUUGUAGCCAAAGUAUUAAUGCAUCUAGGUAUACAGUAAUGAUAUGGUAAGCUUUUUUUAAUUAGAAAAUUUUUCUUUCACUUACAUAGUAUCUUUCACCUCAAGAUCAAAAACUUACAGUAUUGACCUUCACAGCACUACUUGUCUCUUAUCUUCAUUAAAAUAAUACUAAGACCAAUAAUAAUAAUAAAAGUGAUAUUGAUGAUGCUCUCUGAGAUAUUUAGCAAAAAGAGUUGACAAAGUACUCAAGUAUUUCUAAUGCCUGUCUUUCCCAUUCUUCAUAGAUUGAUGAUAUAAAAAAACUUUUUUUUUCUUUUUUAACUAGCUGUCGACAAUAAUUAAUUGUUUGAUAAAACAAAAACGUACAAAUUAUUCUCACUGAACUUUAAAGUUGAAAUUGAAUUGUGUUUAAGAUUAAGCAUACAGUACUGACCAUAGUAUUUAUACACAUAAUUAAAAGCUAAAAACGUGACUUUCAAAUGGUUUGGUGUCAGACCACUAAGCAAAUUAUUUUAAAGCAGCAAUGAUGAAUUCAUUCAUUCAGCAAAGAUGAUUCCAGCAAUUGAGCAAACACAGCUCAUCUAGUCAAUGUGAUUUGAUAGCGUAUCAUACUAUGUAAAGUAAAAUCUCUUUCAAAGCUUUAUAAAUUUUUCGAUUAAAUUAAUUAUAAUAGAUGUGGCACUACUGUAAGAGAAGGUAGAUGAUAGAGUUUAUCUGUCAGUCAGUCACUUAUGACAUCUCUACGUGUAAAAAUAACAGAAUCUGAUAUUUUGAAGCCUUUUAGUUCAUCUGUAGUUAAAUAGAUGAAAUCAUAUUUGUGCAAUGAAUGAUGGCACAUAACUAGUACAGUAAUUAAAAAAAACAGAUUUACAAAUCACCAUCUUCCACCGUUUCCACUUCCAGUAAUGUCUUUUGAUGGGUUAGAAGAAUAAAUAGCAAGUGGUAAUCUUAAAUUAUGGCUCUUUGACAGUGGGAAAUGGAUUAAAAAAAAGAACUUGGCAAAUCCUUUAUUUUCUUCCAUGUGGUCUAUUCGUAUCUAGAGAGAGCAAGGCAGACAUUUAUAGGAAGAGAAUCUGAUUGCUCCAGGUUGACUGCUGCAGUGGAUUUGUGACUGUAUUGCACUGUGAAAAUCCUUUGCAUUGCUCCAUAUUUCUAAGCACCCAUGAAUUGUGCAGUCAGUUGGAGGUAUCCAGUUUCCAAAUCGAGGUUACUUGACACUGCCCCAGAAUGACAAUUGAGCUGAAUGCUCUUUGUCCACUGCGGUAAGGGUACACAUGAAACCCUUUACUUAUAACUUUAAGGUUAUAUGGCUGGAAAAAUGCUAUAACAUGCCUUUUAUGAGGCUAAAGUGGACUGGAUCAUGAUAAAAUUGAGUAAAGCAAUCUUGACUCCUUUUAAUGCAUUUUACCCAUGUCUGACUUCAACUUUAUCAUCAUAUCAAGGAGCAAAAGGCAUUUUCAUGGAAGCCUCUAUUAUUUGCAUCUAUUUCUAACCCUGUACUAGUAUCUUAGAAAAACUAAAUAUAAUCUUGUAUUUGUCUUAUGACAGCAGUGUAGUUUUAUUUUUUAACUGAAGAGUUAGUGUUUCAACGUGUAAGGGGUUACCAAAGCUAUUCAGUUUUAUUUUGUGAAACAAAUCUGUAGUUAUUCAAAGUCCAAGACAUGGACAGAAAGUAAAAGGUAAUGUUAAAAAAACAAUCUGUGAAAGCGUAAUGAAGCUCAUUAGUCAAACUAAAGAGCUCAUGAAAUUUCUUGCCUGAAUAUUUCCUGGCCAUGAGCAUAGUCUUCUUUUCAAGUUGUUCCCAAUGUUAGAAAACAUUUAAGGAAAUUAAUAGGCAAAGAGUGACAGCAGUGAUUGUAAAUGGGUUGUUUUAAAGGCUUCUCCACUAAAUUAGCACAAGGCAACUAAUAAAAGUUUGGGACAGCGUCAUUCAGACCACAGGAAACUCCUUGAAUGUGUUCUCUGAUACUCUUUUUAGAGCAGUUGAUAAAAAAGCAAAGUAUUAAAUGCCCCAAAAACACUUAGGCAGUAUAUCUGAAUAUACCACUGGAUACAGGCCUUUUUAAUUUAUAAUAUAUAAUUUUAAAAGUAGUCAAUUUAAUUUCUUAGAUUUACAAGUGGUAUCAUUUAGUAUAAAGGGGUGCUUGGCGACUUCACCUCUGACAUCUUAAAGGUGAUAAAACUAAGACUCAAGAGAGGUUGAGUGGCUUCCCUUGAUCCCACUAACAGAUAGUGACAUGCUAUGAUAGAGCCCAAGUACCCUUCUCCAUCUAGUACAAUAUCCACUAAGGUAUUUCUCAAUCUUAUGUCUUUGGACCAAGUGUACCAGAGCAGUUGGCCUUUGUAUUAUAUGAAAUAUCACUGCAAAAAUGUAAGGGCAGUGGUUUCACUUUAGGGGUGCAUUCCAUGUUUUGUACUAGUUCACAAAAAAAAAGCAAUGAUAAGAGUAUGGCCUUUGUGCUGAAUUGGACAUCAUACAAAGUCAUGGUUUGUCUGUAUUACAAAAGAGCAAGACCACGUUCAUAUAUGUUCUUAUUGAAAAUUAUUCUCUGGUGUUCCUGCUGUCACCCAUGCAAACUAAGCUGUGGGUUUUUUUUUUUUUUCCCUUGGGAAUUUUGAAUUCAUACUGUUUCUUGUUUUGUUUGCACUAAUAAACAACACUUCCUUCACAGGACAUAUCUAGUUAUAGACACAAGAUUUUUUUUUUUUUUAAAUUACAAGUGAAUGUUGAUCAAGACCCCUUCAUAUUCAUUAAGAGAAACACUUUUGUGGAUGUUUCCAGGCUUAGUUCAAGCCUUUGUCAUCUGAUCUUUCAUAACACAUCCUUUUUUUCUUUUCCUAGAAGGUACAUAUUGCUCAGAUUUGAAUGAAGGUAGUUUACGUGUCUGCAGAUAAAAAUAUCUUGGUUGUUUUCAAAGUGUAAAAUAUUUCAUUCAAAUUUGGGCUGAUUUUUGUCAUUUCUGCUUAGCUACAAGACAUUUAUUCAAUCUUUUAUUCAGCAGCAGCUAUAUUCCAGAACUUUUUUAAGUGCUUGAAAGAAGGGAAUAAAGAUAAGUGACUUCCUGCCUUGGCUUGGGUGUGGAGGGGUGCUUGGGGGGGGGUCAUUGGGAUAAGAGGAGAGAGAAAUAUUGCAAUAAGGGGAAUUACAACCCAGCUCCUAGUGAAAGUAGGUAUAUGAUGAAUAAAAUAUGGCAGUUUAUUAAUUAUUUCAUUAAAUUAACCACAUACUCUUUUGUAUGGAAAAUACUCAUUAAUUUUAUCAUGUUAAUUUGGGCCUUGCUUGCAUUUACUAAGUAAAAAGAAAUUUCUAGUCAUUCUCUGUUCAAAUGGCCACAAAUCAAGAGAAUCAGGAACACUUGCAUCCUUUGCCAAAUCCCUUCACUAAUUUGGGCCAUACACCUGAGAUCAUGACAAUAAUCAUAAUUAAUUUAAUUAGUAAUAGUAACAAUAGUAAUUAUUGUUAUUUCAAUAGUCAUAAUAGAGGAGUGUUAGCACAUAGGCAAGCCCAUCUACCUUAUUCUGGUAUUUUAGUGACCACCUAACUGGUAUCAUCUGGUGACACAAAAGUUGGUGACUCCUUUCUGUGGGAUGGCCUCAGUGGUUUGGGAGAAGUACAAAGGAAAGAUACUUGGGGACCUGCUCCUGUUAAAUCAGUCUUCAUGGACCACAGCAGGUGGCCAAUGUUGACCCUAGCAAGGUUCAGGUGGGGUGGUGCAACAUUUUGCCCUCUGGCUGCCCCCUUGAGCGUCAGACUCAGUGCCACGUGGGCAUUAUUUCUGCCCACUGCCACUUUCUCACAAUAAUGUUCUGUGACAGAAGUUUGUGAAUCUAGAUUAUUUUAGUUCCAACUCUCCCAUUGACUGCCUUUGUGCCCUUGGCAAUUUAUUUAAAUGUUAGCAUUUUCAUUUUUUCCUCUCUGGGUUCUUGCUAGGGUUCAGUGAGAUGACAUAUGUAAAUAGGACUUGGUCAACUUUAACCACGACUGACACUUAAUCAAUAUUGGCUGUGGUUUUAUCAGACAUGCGUGUAUCGAGUUGGGCAGCUUCCCUGUUCUCCACGCCUCCUGUGUGCCUGGGGUGUGUCUAGUGUCACUAGUCCGGGCAGUCAUUCCACGGACUGGAAUGUGGUACUAGGAGGAAGAACAACAGCAGGCAACAUUUAAGUUUGCUCCGGUUUGUUUGCCUUAAAUUUCUUCCAUUUAUAAUGACUGAUGAGAAAUGGGUAUAAGAUUUAUGCUCCCAUUGAUGUCACUUUUCAAGUGGGGAUGGUUAAGUCAAUUAAUAUCAACUAAUAUUAAUUAAAGUGAUACUGUCUCCUUGACUCUACUGUAAAUUCUGUAAAAAAUAAAGACUUAAUCUUAUUAUCUCAUCAUCCACAGCACACGCUAGGUUCUCAGGAAAUAAUUUUUUAAUAAAUGGCUUUCAUAUUUACCUGAAGAGUAUAGAGACUAAAUAAUAUGCAAAAUGUGUGAUAAUCCUUAAGUAUAUGGUUCAUUGAUCAUAUUUUCAUCUUUAAACAGGUGCAUAAUUUCAAAAUGUAUUAGUGAAUACUUAAGUUGACUCUUUCCCAAAUAUUACCCAAUUUCUUUUGUUAUAUAAUCAGGUCAGAUGAUUUAAGGAAGAUGUAUAGUGUAGCCAUCUCUAUAGCAUGAACAUUAUAAAUAGCUAUUAAAAUAAGUUAUGAUUCCUUCAGAAUCUUUGUAAAUUUUGAGAAUUUCAUUCAAUCAUUGAUGUUACCUGGAAUUUCUCCCAGACACCUUAAAAAUACUCCCUCAAGCAAUUUCCACUUGCCUAGUAGGCCAUUGAGACCCCAUAAUGAAAAGCAGAAUUGAGUAGCCUCUCCCCCCAGUUUUUCAUACCCCCAUAAUUGCUCUUAUGAAUUUAAAAUUAAGCAUAUUUCCAACAUUUACCAAAACUUUUUUUCCACCAGUGAUAGUAUAUUUUCCUAUGUUGAGUAUACCUAGUUGGGAGUACACUUUGUCUUCUGCCAUAAUCACUCGAUUCUUUUCAAUUUAGAUUCUAUUUACAAAAAUCCUCUAAACACAUGGUUUUUCCAACAUUGAUCAGAUUACCUUACUGACCAAUACUCCUCUAUUUCCCGUCAGCUGAAGAAUGGCAAGGUUCAUAAAUUUAGAAAGGAGAGUUUUAUUUCUCAUAAAGGGUUGCAGCCUGCAGGGUGGCCAUUCUGACAGGCUGGGAACCAUUACAUAGCCUCUGGCCGGAAGCUAAGAUCAGGUACUUCCAGGGAAUGGUAAAGGGAACAGGAAUUCAUGCCGAGCUGAGCAGGGUAUCUGAAUAUACAUAUUUAAUAAGCCAUAGGCGUAGUGAAGAAUAUUGAUGAAAGGAGAAACGUGCACAUGCACAAUUGCGCUUCACACCCUUUCGUGGGUAGCACGUCCAAAAAGGGGCAGUGUCAGCAUGAUCCAAGGGUGGAGUUUUGGCCCUGGGGUGUCAAAGGUGAAGCAGAAGACAUGAAAACCCUUUCUGUGUGUCCGUCCUGCAUAGACUGGCCAGAACCACUCCACAGCCAGCCCCCUGGUCUCUUACCAGGAAGAAAUGCUGAUCAGCUGUGUUGAAACCACAAAAAAAAAAAAAAAAAA